AAUUUUGGACAAUGGGGGAAACCCUGAUCCAGCCAUCCCGCGAGUAUGAUGAAGGCCUUCGGUUUGUAAAGUACUUUUGGCAGAGAAGAAAAGGUAUCCCCUAAUCCGCGAUCCUGCUGACGGUAUCUGCAGAAUAAGCACCGACUACCUCCGUGCCAGCAUCCGCGGUAAUACGUAUGGUGAAAGCGUUAUUCGGAAUUACGGGGCGUAAAGCGUUUGUAGGCGGUUCGGAAAGAAAGAUGGGAAAUCCCAGGGCUCAACCUUGGAACUGCAUUUUUAACUGCCGAGCUAGAGUAUGUCAGAGGAGGGGAGAAUUCCACGUGUAGCAGUGAAAUGCGUAGAUAUGUGGAGGAAUACCGAUGGCGAAGGCAGCCCCCUGGGAUAAUACUGACGCUCAGACACGAAAGCGUGGGGAGCAAACAGG
rnacentral:rRNA from 1 species